UACGGAGGGUGCGAGCGUUGUCCGGAAUCAUUGGGCGUAAAGGGCGCGUAGGUGGCCCGGUCAGUUCGUGGUGAAAGCGCGGGGCUCAACCCUGCGUCGGCCAUGAAUACUGCCGCGGCUGGAGCACUGUAGAGGCAGGCGGAAUUCCGGGUGUAGCGGUGGAAUGCGUAGAGAUCCGGAGGAAGACCGGUGGCGAAGGCGGUCUGCUGGGCAGUUUCUGACACUGAGGCGCGACAGCGUGGGGAGCAAACAGGG
rnacentral:rRNA from 1 species